CAAACUGGGAUUAGAUACCCCACUAUGCCUAGCUGUAAACAAAAGUGACCGACAUACACCACCUCGCUUGCCAGGGAACUACGAGCCCCAGCUUAAAACCCAAAGGACUUGGCGGUGCUUUAGACCCCCCUAGAGGAGCCUGUUCUAGAACCGAUAACCCCCGUUUAACCUCACCCCCUCUUGUUCCCCCCCGCCUAUAUACCGCCGUCGUCAGCUUACCCUGUGAAGGACUAAUAGUGAGCAUAAUUGGCACAGCCUAAAACGUCAGGUCGAGGUGUAGCGUAUGAGGGGGGAAGAAAUGGGCUACAUUCACUGAACCAGUGAAAACGAACGAUAACAUGAAACACCUAUCUAAAGGAGGAUUUAGCAGUAAGAGGGCAGCAGAGUGCCCCCCUGAAACCGGCCCUGAAGCGCGCACACACCGCCCCGUCACCCUCUGCAGUCA
rnacentral:rRNA from 1 species